UAGUGACUCCCUGAUAUCUCAUCAGGUUCGUUCACGACAACAGUUACUCCAAAAGAAAAGAUUUCUUCAACCUAGUGGCUCCACAAUUUCGCAUUGGGUUCGUCCUCGCUGUCUAUAAUCCUGGCGGCUCUACAAUUUCGCAUUGGGGGCAGAUUGGAAACAGAUGAAAAUAGCUGGAGUGAGAAGUAACGGAAAGUGGAAGUACCAGAGUGGGAAGUAGCGGAGUGGAGGUUUUAGAAAUGGUGACCAUCAGCGGUGGAUAUGGAAAAUCAUACAGGUGGUCGGUACUCAAUCCGCCCUUAAUCACUAUUACGGUCGGUGCAGGCAACCAUUUUUGAAGAUCUACCUGCAGGUGUCAACGUGACGAGUGCUAUGGGUGUCCUUGAAUUCCCAACAUUAUUUGAGGUCAUAGUCGAAAGUUUCAAAAAUCGAAAUAUGAUGGAUGUCGACUGAGGACGGUACAGAAUCGAGGGAGAGAGGACCGGAUAGGAUCCACCCAAAUGAACCUCGUUUUAUCAUAUACAGUCAGGGUCUAAACUCAAUCUAGAAUUAGAGCUUAUGGGGCCCUCGUCCGCGAGGUUUACACCAGAAAGAUGCGACCAUUUAGAAUUUGAAUUAUGACGAAAUGAGACGUACCUAGUCAGUGCCUUUAUUAUGUUGUCGAAUAUAUAGGCUCGUUUUCCUUUGCCGGUGUUAUUAAGAUUACGGCAACAUGGCGAGCGAAUAAUUCCGGUAAGUUUAAUAUCUUGCCUUGUUCGUUCAAGACAGAGCAAUUAAGCCAAAUGUUCCUUGAUGAGCGUCAUAGCUGAGCCUUGAUCCAGCUACGCUCUUGCAUUGACGCAUCGACCAUUGAGGGAAUGCACUCGAACUCGUGCUGUUGAGGAAAGAAUGAUAAUCAAUUCCUCAAGAUCAUCGCCUAUCAGAAUGAUGAAUUCUAAAAUGAUUUAUUAAAUCGUUCGCGUUCACAUAAGUAGUUUCUUAACGAGACUGACUUUAUAGCGUCACGUGCUACCUACGAAUAUUCUUUCCUUUCUUUCGGUUGGGAAUACCGAGAGACAUAUAUUCACUUUCUGUCGCCACUAAUUUAUAUAAACGUUUAU